UUCUGGAGGCUGCCGCUCUGGCCCGUCCGGCCGCCGACCCGCACCGCGGCGCAGCGAGACUGAUGCGUCGCCGCCGCCGCCGGCGGCGUCAGAUAAUGUUACCGCGGCGUGUCCAGAGCCUGGUCUUCCGUGAGCGAAGAGCAGGGACACCAUGGCCAUCAUGUCACGUCGUCCUCGCUGAGGCCUACCGAGAUUGGGAGGUGCGCAGGCCUGGGAGGGUCGUUGUGUAUAAAAAAAAAAGGCUUGCCUGUUGUACAGUUGGGGACGAAGCGUUCGUGCAAGCUGUGACUUGUGCCGCCUGAUGAACAAGAGGUUCCUGGAGCAUGGUGCGUUGCUUAUCAGUCUGAAUUGCUCAUCUAAUUUGUGCCCCAGUUCUUGCCAUGGAAUGUUGAAAGAACAGGGCAUCCGUAGCUCUUCCAGGUAACAAUUAUGGCUUUUUAUCGUGUUCUGUUUGCGCCUAAAAUGGUCAUGCAGUAGCCAAGCUAAAUUUCGGUCAUCAUUUUGAUGGCCAUCAAAGGCCAGAGUAGGGGGCUACAAAGCAAGUCUUGGCACCAAACCAAAUGGUGGCCAAAAUUUGGAUUG
rnacentral:lncRNA from 1 species